rnacentral:rRNA from 1 species
CCAAUAGCGUAUAUUAAAGUUGUUGCAGUUAAAAAGCUCGUAGUUGAAUUUCGGGAUUGACAUGACGGUCGUGCCUUACGGGGUAUGAACUGUUGCUGUUGAUUUCUCACCUUCUGGAGAAACUUGAUGUCCUUAAUUGGGUGUCUUGCGGAUCCAGGACCUUUACCUUGAAAAAAUUAGAGUGUUUAAAGUAGGCAUUUUGCUCGAAUACAUUAGCAUG